CGGGGCGGGGGGCUGCCCGGAGGCCGCGCCCUUGGCUCCGUCUGGUUUUGUAGCCGGACUUUGAUGAGGUCAAAAGGGGCCAAGCAGUAGACCUGACACCUCUCAGAGGCCCCUGACGGGGUCAAGUGCUGGGCCAGCCUUUCCUGCCUCCUGAAAACCACCCACCACUUGUGUCCCAAGGAAGGGACAGAGCCCUGCCAGGGGGCAAGAAAGCUGGUGCUGGCCACCCGGAGGCCUCCUAUGCCAAAGCCCCAAAGAAGCAAGACACCCACCGACUCAUGGCGGCCACUGCCAGGAGGCUCCGGGAUGGCUGGCUCUGGGUGCUUCUGGGCCACCAGGACUUUGGUCUCAGCUCCUCCCAAAUCACCAGAAGUGACCCACCCCUGGGGUGGAGAGGAUGUGACAGAAGGGAGAAAAGUGUCUCACCAGAGAUCCAGCCGGCCACAAACUCCUCCACGGGCAUUUUCCGGCUGGGGCGGAAACUGGUGGCUCCAGCAGAGACACUGCUCACACCUGAGCUCCCGUGAGCCCUCAGUUCACGUGAGGAAGACGUGUUGUAACGGGCUCAAUUGCGCAGCAGUGUGGCUCCUGGAGGGCAGAUCGGAAACUGGGGCCCGGGGGAGAAGGGGCUUGUCCAGGCCGAGUCCGUACAAGGGCCCAGUCUUUCUGACCACAGCAAAGAGCCCCUAACCCCUCAUGGCCCAGGGGGAGCUGCUGCAGUACAGGCUGCUGCCUGAGUCACCUUUACGCAACACCCAGAACAGUGCGGGUCCCUGACACGUCCCAGGACGCAUCUCCAUUUUUACAAGUGAGGGCACCGGCCCCAAACCACGUGCAAGUGAUUGCCCAUAGCUCGGUCACUAUUCCUGAUUUCCUUGAACCUUCGCCACACCUUGUCACAGGC